ANAGUUUGAUCCUGGCUCAAAGUGAACGCUGGCGGCGUGCCUAAAACAUGCAAGUCGUACGCGAAAGGGGGCAACCCUGANUANAGUGGCGCAAGGGUGAGUAAUANUUAGGUAACGUACCUUCCUGCUGGGGAUAACCAGGGGAAACCCUGGCUAAUACCGAAUAGUCCUCUCGGACACACGGUUCGAGAGGUAAAGCCGCAAGGCGCGGGAAGAUCGGCCUAACUCCUAUCAGCUAGUUGGUAGGGUAACGGCCUACCAAGGCUAUGACGGGUAGCCGGUCUGANAGGAUGGUCGGCCACACUGGCACUGAGACACGGGCCANACUCCUACGGGAGGCAGCAGUUAGGAAUCUUGCGCAAUGGGCGAAAGCCUGACGCAGCGACGCCGCGUGAGGGAANAAGGCCUUCGGGUUGUAAACCUCUUUCGGCGGGGAAUACAAAAGACAGUACCCGCANAANAAGCCCCGGCUAACUACGUGCCAGCAGCCGCGGUAAAACGUAGGGGGCAAGCGUUACUCGGAAUUACUGGGCGUAAAGGGUGUGUAGGCGGCUUCGUAAGUCCGAUGUGAAAGCCCUAGACUUAAUCUAGGAACUGCAUCGGAUACUGCGAGGCUAGAGUCCCAGAGGGGAGACCGGAAUUCCCGGUGUANAGGUGAAAUUCGUAAAUAUCGGGAGGGACACCGAAAGCGAAGGCGGGUCUCUGGCUGGGUACUGACGCUGANACACNAAAGCGUGGGGAGCAAACAGGAUUAGAUACCCUGGUAGUCCACGCCCUAAACGAUCGCCACUAAAUGUCGGGUCNAAANACUCGGUGUCCCANCUAACG
rnacentral:rRNA from 1 species